CCCUUCUCAGGGUCGCACCUGGAGAGUUUCCAGUCCUCUACCAAUCUCGGCUAUGGGAGGGAGAGUCAAGCAGAGACCUACCCAUUCCUUUCCUAGCUUGGCCUGUGGCUGGAGAAUGGAUGGCAAUCUGCUACAAGU